CAGUUCUUGUGUCGGACACUCAGGCGGUUGCGGGAGGCGUCGCAAAGAUGCCGUGCGACAUAGCACCACCCAUCCCGGGCGACAAGGUGUACCUUGUUAUCUGGUACAAGGAGGGAGCUCCCUCACCCAUAUACAGUUUCGAUUCUCGAGGGAAAUCUUUCGACCAGGCGAAGCACUGGGCCGACGAGCAAGUCCUCGGUGGGAGAGCGUUCUUCCGGUAUACGGACGAUCCUGCCAAGCUGACGGUAGAGAGCGUCCGGGAAUCCGACGGAGGAGUCUAUCGGUGUCGGGUCGACUUUAAGAAGUCGCCAACAAGGAACACCAAAGUCAAUCUCACAGUUCUCAUUCCACCAGAAAGACUGAUAAUUCUGGAUGACAAGGGUACCAACAUUCCACACCAUAUACUUGGUCCGUACAACGAGGGCUCAAGCGUGAAUAUUACCUGCAUCGCCACUGGAGGACGCCCUAGUCCCAGAGUGACGUGGUGGCAGGAGAACGCGUUGCUGGACGAUUCUUACGAGCAAGUUGCUGAUCGUCGCGUACAAAACGUUCUUCGCCUCGAGAAACUAGGAAGACGUCACCUACACACAGUGUUCACAUGCCAGGCCAGCAACAACAAUUUGGUAGCUCCGAUCUCCAGCCCAGUCUCGCUCGACAUGAAUCUUCGACCUCUGUGGGUUAGACUUCAGGGAGAAAACCAUCCCCUCUCAGCCGACAAUACGUACGAGUUGGACUGCGAAGCUGUGGGAGCGAGACCACCUCCAAUGAUGAACUGGUGGAAGGGUAGCAUCCCCCUGCGGAACACGAGAGAAACUACGAGUCCUGACGGUAACACUACCACGAGUACAGUGACGUUUGUGCCGACCAUGGAGGACAGCGGGAAGAUCCUGACGUGCAGAGCUACUACACCCCUUAUUGAUGACACCACUCUGGAAGACGGUUGGAAGCUCAACAUCCACCAUGUGCCAAUUGUGAGUCUGGAGCUGGGAAGUAAUCUGAAUGCCAGUUCGAUACGUGAAGGAAUCGAUGUGUACUUCGAGUGUAACAUAAAGUCUAAUCCUUGGGUAUACAAGGUCAGCUGGAGGCAUAACGGUAUGACGCUGUUCAACAACGCAAGUGUGGGCACAAUCGUGAGCAACCAGAGUCUGGUAUUGCAGUCAGUAUCAAGGGCUCGAGCUGGACUCUACACGUGUGUCGGCAGUAAUCAGGAAGGAGAUGGCGAGAGCAACCCUGUCUAUCUGGACGUGAAAUUCGCGCCGGUGUGUAAGCCAGGUCAACAGAAAGUUCACGGGGUCGCCCGCCAGGAAACAGUCAGGAUCCAAUGUGAACUCGAAGCGAAUCCUCAGGAAGGAAUCCACUUCACCUGGAAGUUCAACAAUACAGCGGAGAUCAUCGAUAUUGCCGCUUCGUACUUUACUACGGACCGGGCCCGUAGCACGACCUCAUAUACGCCCAUGACGGAACUUGACUACGGCACUUUGCUCUGCUGGGGUCGCAACGAUCUCGGCGUUCAGAAAGCACCUUGUGUCUUCCACAUAAUUCCAGCAGGAAAGCCCGACGGUUUACAGAAUUGCACGAUAUUAAACCAAACAGCAGAAUCGCUCCAUGUAGAGUGCACAGACGGUUUCGACGGUGGACUUCCACAAGAAUUCGUCAUGGAGGUUUAUGACGCCAUGACGCAGAAUCUCGUCACCAAUGUUACGUCACGAGUUCCAGCGUUUACUAUCAGUGGACUGGAGUCGGGUAUUGGAUUCGAUAUAUCUCUGUACGCAGCCAAUUCAAAGGGCCGCAGUGAUUCGGUACCACUGCAUGCUUACACGUCCAAGGCAGCAGAGAAACGUACUGGUUGGUCAGAUAAACCACAGCCUCCUGAGAAAUGUACAAUCACACACCAGACGGUCAGUUCGCUGAGAGUAGGUUGCUACACUCCCCCUGAGGUGCUUCACCAUAAUCACCCUGAUGAUGUUCCCACCACGUAUGUGCUGCAAGUGUUUGAUGCCGAAACAAGGCACCUGGUUGCCAGUGCCACUUCUCAGAUGGCAGGGAUGUUGGAGAUAACAGAUCUGCCUGCCACCUACAGGGAUCUUGUGUUAUCUGUUCGAACAGUGACAGCUCAUGCCACAAGUGACGCUGUCUCCAUCUACACAGUUUUGCCCGAACAAGAUCAGCGCCGUGGUGCUGCGACACCAGCAAUCCUGCAGAUUACACCAAUCCUGGGGGUUUUGAUUGGUGUGGUGGCUGCCCUGGUGCUGUUGGCCGUCAUCAUAGUGGUCGUGAUGCGGCUCCGAGGUCAUGGGGACGAGGACGUGAAAGAACGUGAGGAUGGCAGUGGAAGGCGGGGAACGCCGCCUGGAGGUGAUAAAGCCUGUUCCAUGCCACUCAGUAAGGACAUGGAUGAAAGCAUUGAUAGUAUGGAUGAAAAGAAUCCAGACAUCAUUCCUCAGAACAGUGAUACAGAUUACCAAGAUCCGGAUGAAAAAGCAUUUGAGAAGCUAAAUAACGCUCCAAACAGAAUCUAUUCUAGUAUGACACCGCGGCUACAUUCGCCACCAAAUAAUGGCACAUAUGAGAACACCAACAACAUCAUGAAUAUCCCAAAAACUAAUGAUGAAAUCACAUACGCAGAACUGUCGCCGAUGUACGGCACGUCGACUCUCAGACGACAGCAGCCUCACCAAGAACCAACUGUGUAUGCGCAGAUUGACGUGAGCAAGAAAUUGGUCCCGGCGUUAUCUUCAGCCUCAGAAGGCUGUCAUCCUUCAGCACUUCCUGUGCUGCACCACCCUCAUCUGACCGCACACCAGCAGCCCCUGCACGUCUUGCAACAACGUUCCCAAAGGCCCCGCGACGAGUCCCUCCCCGAUCAGCAGGCCGAUGUCGAGACGCCUCUCAUCUCUCAGCCGACAUCGACACCACAUAGAGAAAGCAUGGUAUAAACUCAUGAUGCAUCAUAACCUUCUCCCAAUAAAAAGUUACCACUAGACUACUGUAGCGUGUUAAAGUGUGCCUGUAGAAAUACUGCAUCUUGUUGUAGCGUAGUUUUAUCUGUUGUCUCCCCAUUAACAAAGUGCCAAUGUUGUGAUUGGUGUGAGUGGAAUUUUGACCAUUUGCUUGGUGCUUCCUGCCUGCGGUGGGUUCGAGCUGUGGAAUGUUGACCAAUAAUUUGCUCCGAAAUGAAGCCUCCAAAAUUAAAAGCAGACGACUUUCUUCGGUUAUGAUUUUCGUCAAAAUAUGCGUCUUCGCUACCGCUACAAGUUACAGAUGAAAAUUCGGACACCAGCAUCCCAUGUCAGAACCAGGAGGGCGAAUUCCUACGUCCCAAGGUCCCCGUGUGACCACCACAAGAUUCUGACUGUCUAAUUCUGAAGUAUGAGGCUCAUCUCAUCACAACAUGAAUUUGUACAAUAAUAAACAAGGCAGACCACAGUGCAAGUGAAUUUUAUAGAAUAUUGCAAGAGGAAACGGAAUUUCCGUGUUUUUCAUCGUCGGCGACCAUCGUCAGUUUAAUGUAUAUAUGUAAUUUGCAUGUGAAAAAAUAUUCAGUGUUUCAUACGAACUUGGAAAGAGAAUCUUGAGUCAUGUUACAGGAGUAUUUAUCCGAAGGAAUAAUUUAGUAUUACUGAUUACCUAACGUAUAAAUUGCAAUGGCCGAAUUCAUUUACAGCUACUGAUAUUUCUAAUGAUUGUUCACGGAAGAGUUUGAAAAUUGAACCUCUGUGUCGGUUACUGAUACGAAAGUUGUAUGUGACUGCAUAAUUAAAAGAAAGUAACGAGCUGAACCAAGGAAUGAAUUAAAUAAACAUUUUAUGAAUCCAAUUUAAUAAAAGAAGAAAAGUGACUUGCGGGCGAAAGACCUGACUGACUUCAGUUUUUUCGGGAAUUAAAAUGUCACGCUUCGAGAUGACUGUAAAACUUUCUUUCAUGGAGGUUAAUUAUAUAGAAUAUUAGUCCAUUUGUACUACAGGAAAACAGUGAUAUUUGUAUCUGCAAAACCUCACUGAGGUAGAGUGCAUUUGUCUUUGUUUUAUACAAACUGAUGAAAUUAAUCUACACUGAAUUUUUAUAUUUGUCAAGCCUAAUGAAUUAAUGAGAGAGAUAAAGAUCUCAUUUCCUUCAAUCUCUUCAGUGUGAGUGAUUUAAAAUGAAUGAGAGCUCCCAAGGAAAAUGUUAUAAAACAAUGUAAAUGCUUAUAACAAUCCAUUUUCUUAUACAUUUGUCUUAACUUUACAGUUUUGUUCCGAGAGGAAUGUGCAAAGGAGGUAGGAGUAGAAUGGUUCAUGAAUUAAGAGUAGUAUGCUAACAUUCCAAGAAGUUUAGGGUAAAUUUAUCAUCAAGAAGAGAUUACCUUGGUAAAUUUUUUCUGUCCCACUAUA